AAAAAAAUUCACGCUCAUCAGACACCAUAAAAGGCGUUGGUUAGUAUAAACAGCCGGACUGUGGCCAUGGAAGUCUGCACCAGCUAAGGAGUGUGUAACAACUCACCAGCCGAAUUAACCAGCCCUGAAAAUUGAUGGCGCUAAGCGUGAUACCGAUACUCAACCAUCAUGGCAAAUAGAAGCUAUGAUGAGUAAGAGGGCGUGAAGACUGUGUAGAAGGCUUGGAUGUGAAUCUGGCUGGAACAGUCUUUAGUGCAGAUCUUGGUGGUAGUAGCAAAUAUUCAAAUGAGAACUUUGAAGACCGAAGUGGAGAAGGGUUCCAUGAGAACAGCAUUUGGUCAUGGGUUACUCGAUCCUAAGACAUAGGGAAAUUCCUUGUAAUACAUUUGCACUUACGUGCAUGUAGUCAAAAGGGAAUGAGGUUCAUAUUCCUCAAGCUGGAUGUGGGAGCUAUGUGGUAACACAAACAAGCUCGGAGACAUCGGUAUGUGCAACUGGAAGAGUUCUCUUUUCUUCUUAACAGUCUAUCUCCCUGAACGGAUUAUCCAGAGCUAGGGAUAUAUGGCUGGCAGAGCAGUUCUCCAUUGAAUUGUCAGUGAAGCUCAUAACGAUCCUUGAAAAUCCGAGUAAGAUUAUCUCAUCACACCAGGUCGUACCCAUAACCGCAUCAGGUCUCCAAGGUUAGCAGCCUCUGGUCGAUAGAAUAACGCAGAUAAGGGAAUUCGGCAAAUUAGAUCCGUAACUUCGGGAAAAGGAUUGGCUCUGAGGGUUGAGUGUGGUGCCAAUGAAAUGGAACUAGGAUCUGUACUGGUGUUGGUCGCAAGAUCGAAACCGGCAUGGAGAGAAGGAAAAUUUUUGCGGCUAGCACAAUUAACAACCGACUCAGAACUGAAGCGGACAAGGGGAAUCCGACUGUUUAAUAAAAACAUAGCUUUGUGAUGGCCUCAAAAGGUGUUGACACAAAGUGAUUUCUGCCCAGUGCUUUGAAUGUGAAUAUGAAGUAAUUUAUAGAAGCUCAGGUAAACGGCGGGAGUAACUAUGACUCUCUUAAGGUAGCCAAAUGCCUCGUCAUCUAAUUAGUGACGCGCAUGAAUGGAUUAAUGAGAUUCCCACUGUCCCUAUCUACCAUCUAGCGAACCCAUAGCCAAGGGAACGAGCUUGGAAUAAUCAGCGGGGAAAGAAGACCCUGUUGAGCUUGACUCUAGUCCGACCUUGUGAAAUGACUUUCGAGAUAUAGCCUAAGUGGGAGCUAACGCGCCGCUGUAAAACCACUGCUCGCUUAGCCAUUUUACUUACUCCAU
rnacentral:rRNA from 1 species